rnacentral:rRNA from 1 species
GCUCCUUUGACGUUAGCGGCGGACGGGUGAGUAACACGUGGAUAACCUACCUAUAAGACUGGGAUAACUUCGGGAAACCGGAGCUAAUACCGGAUAACAUAUUGAACCGCAUGGUUCAAUAGUGAAAGGCGGCUUUGCUGUCACUUAUAGAUGGAUCCGCGCCGUAUUAGCUAGUUGGUAAGGUAACGGCUUACCAAGGCAACGAUACGUAGCCGACCUGAGAGGGUGAUCGGCCACACUGGAACUGAGACACGGUCCAGACUCCUACGGGAGGCAGCAGUAGGGAAUCUUCCGCAAUGGGCGAAAGCCUGACGGAGCAACGCCGCGUGAGUGAUGAAGGUCUUCGGAUCGUAAAACUCUGUUAUCAGGGAAGAACAAAUGUGUAAGUAACUGUGCACAUCUUGACGGUACCUGAUCAGAAAGCCACGGCUAACUACGUGCCAGCAGCCGCGGUAAUACGUAGGUGGCAAGCGUUAUCCGGAAUUAUUGGGCGUAAAGCGCGCGUAGGCGGUUUUUUAAGUCUGAUGUGAAAGCCCACGGCUCAACCGUGGAGGGUCAUUGGAAACUGGAAAACUUGAGUGCAGAAGAGGAAAGUGGAAUUCCAUGUGUAGCGGUGAAAUGCGCAGAGAUAUGGAGGAACACCAGUGGCGAAGGCGACUUUCUGGUCUGUAACUGACGCUGAUGUGCGAAAGCGUGGGGAUCAAACAGGAUUAGAUACCCUGGUAGUCCACGCCGUAAACGAUGAGUGCUAAGUGUUAGGGGGUUUCCGCCCCUUAGUGCUGCAGCUAACGCAUUAAGCACUCCGCCUGGGGAGUACGACCGCAAGGUUGAAACUCAAAGGAAUUGACGGGGACCCGCACAAGCGGUGGAGCAUGUGGUUUAAUUCGAAGCAACGCGAAGAACCUUACCAAAUCUUGACAUCCCUUUGACUGCUCUAGAGAUAGAGUCUUCCCCUUCGGGGGACAAAGUGACAGGUGGUGCAUGGGUUGUCGUCAGCCCGUGUCGUGAGA